rnacentral:rRNA from 1 species
CACGUAGGGCGCGAGCGUUGUCCGGAAUUAUUGGGCGUAAAGAGCUCGUAGGCGGCCUGUUGCGUCCGCUGUGAAAGCCCGGGGCUUAACCCCGGGUCGGCAGUGGAUACGGGCAGGCUAGAGGUAGGUAGGGAGAAGUGGAAUUCCCGGUGUAGCGGUGAAAUGCGCAGAUAUCGGGAGGAACACCAGCGGCGAAGGCGGCAUCCUGGACUGGUCCUGACACUCAGGAGCGAAAGCGUGGGGAGCGAUCCGG